UACGUAGGGUGCAAGCGUUGCCCGGAUUUAUUGGGCGUAAAGGGCGCGUAGGCGGCUCGGCACGUCCGUUGUGAAAUCGCCCGGCUCAACUGGGCGGGGUCAGCGGAUACGGUCGAGCUUGAGCAAGCUAGGGGGCAAUGGAAUUCCCGGUGUAGUGGUGGAAUGCGUAGAUAUGCGGAGGAACACCGAUGGCGAAGGCAAUCCCCUGGACCUGUACUGACGCUCAUGCACGAAAGCGUGGGGAGCAAACAGG
rnacentral:rRNA from 1 species